UUUGCUUCGGACUCUAACAAGGGGAUUCUUUGGAGGUCAAAGCUCGCAUUUUUAUCCGCUGGAUCUGCAGGAACGACGACGAUGAUGCCGGCGCAUCCGGGCUCUUCGUCGACCUUCCCGUGCUGGAGGCCGACACUGCCGGCUUCUCCUGGAAUCUCUGUUGCUGCUCAAGGUGUUGCAUCUCCUCCGCGGUCUCCCUCCUCGGCUGCUGCGCCUCCUCCGCGGCUGGGCGCCAGGGCAGUUGGGAAUCAAACGAAGAGGUCAAGGGGAACCACAACGGUGAGACGCGACGCUAAGGAGUAAGACGGCCGGAUCUGGAGCUUGAGGCCCUUCACCGCGCUUGUGUUCGUCAGAUUGCAAGUAAGCCCUGGAGUUGUACAGAGGAGAGGAAGAGGCAGUCACUGAGGGCGUGCUACGUCUACGGGCUCAUCUUCUUCGCCAUCAACCCGCACAGACAGCGCUGCUGUCGGAGUCGUCGGUGGAUGAGACGCCCACGCCACCAGCGUCUGCAGAGUCUUCGAACAUGUGCUCCCAAUAUUGCAGCCACGUCCUUCUUAUCAGUUCUCUUGAACUUGCCUCCUCUACUCUUAUGGAGGGUUUCCAUGGACAUGUAAACGGCAUAUCUCUGCGCAUCAGUGAGCCAAUUCCUUUGCCUUUGUACUCCUACAAUAGCAAUAGAAUAAUAAAAUUAAUUAUUGCAAGAAUAUUACAAAUUGGUUGAUGGAAAUGUAAACAAGAGGUCAGCAAUAGCAAUAGCAAGUAAUUCCAUAGGAGUAUUUCUUGCUGAAAAUGUUGCUUGAUGUAAAUAUAAACAUAAAUUCUUGAGUUCAAGCUUUCUGCUCUCUCUGUGUAGCCAUGAAUAUUUCCGCUCUCUCUCUGUCGUAUGUACACAUCUCCCCUUUCCCUAGCAAAAAAGAGAAUGCUCUAACUAGUCUAGUCUCUCUAAGUGACCAAGUGGGAGACAUCACACCCACCUGUCUGGUUUAUGCAAGAUCCUCCUAACAAUCUACUGUACUCCAGUAUAAUUUCGAGGUUUAGGAUUGCUAGUAUGAAAAUGGUGUACUUUAUAAAUUUGCAAGAAUUUCAAAUGGAGUACUCCAAAUAUGCAUGCUGUUAAAAUGACAUUAGGAGUACUCCAAAUAUGCAUGCUGUUAAUUAUGAAAAUGGAGUACUCCAAAUAUGCAUGUUAUUAAAUAUGAAAAUACAGUAUAAUUCUGCAAGAACAUUAGGAUUUCGACAUUGAUGAGAAAUGGAGUAGAAUUCUACUGAUCACUAUGCACAAUUAUACUCCAUUAUAUGUUGAAAUCUUAGCAAUCCCUUCCUUCUAUGUCACUUCUCUGUUAUGGACACAAUAUGCACAAUUCUACUCCAUUGAUCAUUCAUCCUGAUAAUGUUCAACAUCAAGGUUUCCAUUUUGACAGGUAAUGUUGCCUUUUUCUUCAGGUUCUCACAAUAGGCACAAUCUGUUAUUGCUUAGCAAUCCUUGAUGUUGAAAAUGGAGUAGAACGUCUAAUGAAGCUUCCUCAUAUGCACUAUUCAGUCUUAGCAAUCCCUUCUUUGUUACUUCUCUGAGGCAUAAUUUGAUGCAAGAUUAAAAGAAAUUAUACCUGUAUUUUGACCAGCAUUGUUG